UACGGAGGGGGCUAGCGUUGUUCGGAAUUACUGGGCGUAAAGCGCACGUAGGCGGCUUUGUAAGUUAGAGGUGAAAGCCCGGGGCUCGAACUCCGGAAUUGCCUUUAACGACUAGCAUCGCUAGAAUUGUGGAGAGGUAAGUGGAAUUCCGAGUGUAGAGGUGAAAUUCGUAGAUAUUCGGAAGAACACCAGUGGCGAAGGCGACUUACUGGACACAUAUUGACGCUGAGGUGCGAAAGCGUGGGGAGCAAACAGG
rnacentral:rRNA from 1 species